CCUGCUCCUAGAGGCAUUGCAUGUGGGGCUGCUGUGUCACAUGUGCAUCAGUAGGUGGCAGAGAGGAGAGAGGCUAUGCUAUGCUCAGCGUUCUGACCUAGGAACAUCUGGAUGGUUAAUAGCCUAACAUU
ensembl:snoRNA Gm24473 small nucleolar RNA SNORA17